UACGGGAGGCAGCAGUGGGGAAUAUUGCACAAUGGGGGAAACCCUGAUGCAGCGACGCCGCGUGGAGGAAGAAGGUCUUCGGAUUGUAAACUCCUGUUGUUGAGGAAGAUAAUGACGGUACUCAACAAGGAAGUGACGGCUAACUACGUGCCAGCAGCCGCGGUAAAACGUAGGUCACAAGCGUUGUCCGGAAUUACUGGGUGUAAAGGGAGCGCAGGCGGGAAGACAAGUUGGAAGUGAAAUCCAUGGGCUCAACCCAUGAACUGCUUUCAAAACUGUUUUUCUUGAGUAGUGCAGAGGUAGGCGGAAUUCCCGGUGUAGCGGUGGAAUGCGUAGAUAUCGGGAGGAACACCAGUGGCGAAGGCGGCCUACUGGGCACCAACUGACGCUGAGGCUCGAAAGUGUGGGUAGCAAACAGGAUUAGAUACCCUGGUAGUCCACACUGUAAACGAUGAUUACUAGGUGUUGGAGGAUUGACCCCUUCAGUGCCGCAGUUAACACAAUAAGUAAUCCACCUGGGGAGUACGACCGCAAGGUUGAAACUCAAAGGAAUUGACGGA
rnacentral:rRNA from 1 species